rnacentral:rRNA from 1 species
UACGUAGGGGGCAAGCGUUGUCCGGAAUUAUUGGGCGUAAAGCGCGCGCAGGCGGUUCACAUAGUCGGGUGGUUAAGCCCGGGGCUCAACCCCGGGUCACACCGGAAACUGGUGGACUUGAGUGCAAAAGAGGAGAGUGGAAUUCCACGUGUAGCGGUGAAAUGCGUAGAGAUGUGGAGGAACACCAGUGGCGAAGGCGACUCUCUGGAUUGUCACUGACGCUGAGGCGCGAAAGCGUGGGGAGCAAACAGG